rnacentral:rRNA from 1 species
UACGGAGGGUGCGAGCGUUAAUCGGAAUUACUGGGCGUAAAGCGCACGUGGGCGGUCAGAUAAGUCGGAUGUGAAAGCCCUGGGCUUAACCUGGGAACUGCAUUCGAUACUGUCUGGCUAGAGUAUGGGAGAGGGAAGCGGAAUUUCCGGUGUAGCGGUGAAAUGCGUAGAUAUCGGAAGGAACACCAAUGGCGAAGGCAGCUUCCUGGCCCAAUACUGACGCUCAGGUGCGAAAGCGUGGGGAUCAAACAGG